UACGUAGGGGGCAAGCGUUGUCCGGAAUUAUUGGGCGUAAAGAGCGCGUAGGCGGUCCGAUAAGUCGGCUGUGAAAGUCAAGGGCUCAACCCUUGGAAGCCGGCCGAUACUGUCGGACUAGAGUCCGGAAGAGGCGAGUGGAAUUCCCGGUGUAGCGGUGAAAUGCGUAGAGAUCGGGAGGAACAUCAGUUGCGAAGGCGGCUCUCUGGACCAGCACUGACACUGAGGCACGAAAGCGUGGGGAGCAAACAGG
rnacentral:rRNA from 1 species